CGGCCCGCCGGGCGCUGGGACUCCUUCCUGGCGCGCAGCCUGCGGCGGUCCCUGGCGCGGCGACUGCUGCGGGCGACUCUCCCGCUGGGACGCGGGCACCCGGCCACCGGGCAACCCGGCCGAAGCCGGCGCGGGUGAUGGGCCGGGAUUGAAGAGCCCGCCUCCCAUUUCUGGGGAGACACUGAGGCAUCAGGACUUGAGCCGUGUUCCUGAUUUUAUACAGAUACCAUUGGGGGUAUAGCUCAGGGGUAGAGCAUUUGACUGCAGAUACCAUGGCUCCGUAUAUAAAGGACAUUCGCUAAAAUGCAAAAUCCGUCAGCUGGAACCAAAAUGUUGGUAAGAGUAGAAAGAAGGAAACUCUGUAAAGAUCGGUUAUCACAGAUGUGGAGAGUGGGAAGAAAUUGCCAGACACCAUUAACAGGGAAGGGAGGAAGGAAGACAUCACAAGGAAACCUUUGUGUCUGAGCCUAGGGUUCAUUGUGGGGGAACAGCAUCUCCCCUGAGAAUCUGUGAUUAUAGACCUGCCUUC